rnacentral:rRNA from 1 species
AACGAACGCUGGCGGCAUGCCUAACACAUGCAAGUCGAACGAAGCCUUCGGGCUUAGUGGCGCACGGGUGAGUAACGCGUGGGAAUCUACCUUGAACUACGGGAUAGCUCCGGGAAACUGGAAUUAAUACCGUAUGUGCCCUUCGGGGGAAAGAUUGAUCGGUUCAGGAUGGGCCCGCGGCGCAUUAGCUUGUUGGUGAGGUAACGGCUCACCAAGGCUUCGAUGCGUAGCCGACCUGAGAGGGUGAUCGGCCACAUUGGAACUGAGACACGGUCCAGACUCCUACGGGAGGCAGCAGUGGGGAAUAUUGCACAAUGGAGGAAACUCUGAUGCAGCAACGCCGCGUGAGUGAUGAAGGUCUUCGGAUUGUAAAGCUCUGUCUUCUGGGACGAUAAUGACGGUACCAGAGGAGGAAGCCACGGCUAACUACGUGCCAGCCGCCGCGGUAA